GACCUACUCCCUCCGUUCGGAAUUACUUGUCUUGGAAAUGGAUGUAUCUAGAACUAAAAUACAUCUAGAUACAUCCAUUUCUGCGACAAGUAAUUCGGAACGGAGGGAGUAGCUG
rnacentral:pre_miRNA from 1 species